rnacentral:rRNA from 1 species
GACGAACGCUGGCGGCGUGCCUAACACAUGCAAGUCGAGCGAAUGAAGUUCCUUCGGGAAUGGAUUUAGCGGCGGACGGGUGAGUAACACGUGGGCAACCUACCUCAUAGAGGGGAAUAGCCUUCCGAAAGGGAGAUUAAUACCGCAUAAGAUUGUAGUACCGCAUGAUACAGCAAUUAAAGGAGCAAUCCGCUAUGAGAUGGGCCCGCGGCGCAUUAGCUAGUUGGUGAGGUAACGGCUCACCAAGGCGACGAUGCGUAGCCGACCUGAGAGGGUGAUCGGCCACAUUGGGACUGAGACACGGCCCAGACUCCUACGGGAGGCAGCAGUGGGGAAUAUUGCACAAUGGGGGAAACCCUGAUGCAGCAACGCCGCGUGAGUGAUGACGGCCUUCGGGUUGUAAAGCUCUGUCUUCAGGGACGAUAAUGACGGUACCUGAGGAGGAAGCCACGGCUAACUACGUGCCAGCCGCCGCAGUAAUAC